rnacentral:rRNA from 1 species
UCCCACCCGUGUUUACUGUACCUUAGUUGCUUCGGCGGGCCCGCCAUUCAUGGCCGCCGGGGGCUCUCAGCCCCGGGCCCGCGCCCGCCGGAGACACCACGAACUCUGUCUGAUCUAGUGAAGUCUGAGUUGAUUGUAUCGCAAUCAGUUAAAACUUUCAACAAUGGAUCUCUUGGUUCCGGCAUCGAUGAAGAACGCAGCGAAAUGCGAUAACUAGUGUGAAUUGCAGAAUUCCGUGAAUCAUCGAGUCUUUGAACGCACAUUGCGCCCCCUGGUAUUCCGGGGGGCAUGCCUGUCCGAGCGUCAUUGCUGCCCAUCAAGCACGGCUUGUGUGUUGGGUCGUCGUCCCCUCUCCGGGGGGGACGGGCCCCAAAGGCAGCGGCGGCACCGCGUCCGAUCCUCGAGCGUAUGGGGCUUUGUCACCCGCUCUGUAGGCCCGGCCGGCGCUUGCCGAACGCAAAUCAAUCUUUUUCCAGGUUGACCUCGGAUCAGGUAGGGAUACCCGCUGAACUUAAGCAUAUCAAUAAGCGGAGGAAACAA